GACGAACGCUGGCGGCGUGCUUAACACAUGCAAGUCGAACGGAAAGGCCCUGCUUUUGUGGGGUGCUCGAGUGGCGAACGGGUGAGUAACACGUGAGUAACCUGCCCUUGACUUUGGGAUAACUCCAGGAAACUGGGGCUAAUACCGGAUAGGAGCUCCUGCUGCAUGGUGGGGGUUGGAAAGUUUCGGCGGUUGGGGAUGGACUCGCGGCUUAUCAGCUUGUUGGUGGGGUAGUGGCUUACCAAGGCUUUGACGGGUAGCCGGCCUGAGAGGGUGACCGGGCACAAUGGGAAUGGGGAAACGGCCAAACUCCUACCGGGGGGAAGAGGGGGGAAUAUUGCACAAUGGGCGGAAGCCUGAUGCAGCAACGCCGCGUGCGGGAUGACGGCCUUCGGGUUGUAAACCGCUUUCGCCUGUGACGAAGCGUGAGUGACGGUAAUGGGUAAAGAAGCACCGGCUAACUACGUG
rnacentral:rRNA from 1 species